rnacentral:rRNA from 1 species
UACGGGGGGGGCAAGCGUUGUUCGGAAUUACUGGGCGUAAAGGGCUCGUAGGUGGCCAACUAAGUCGGACGUGAAAUCCCUCAGCUUAACUGGGGAACUGCGUCUGAUACUGGAUGGCUUGAGUUUGGGAGAGGGAUGCGGAAUUCCAGGUGUAGCGGUGAAAUGCGUAGAUAUCUGGAGGAACACCGGUGGCGAAGGCGGCAUCCUGGACCAACACUGACACUGAUGAGCGAAAGCCAGGGGAGCAAACGGG